AACUCUUUCAAUCACGUGAUUGUUCACAGUCAGUUACAGAUUGAACUCCUUGUUCUACUACUUUCCCCCCUCCUCACUACUGCACUUGACUAGUCUUAA
rnacentral:sRNA from 1 species